GCUGUCAGCACAGAGCCUGAUGUGGGGCUCAAACUCACGAGCUGUGAGAUCAUGACCUGAGCUGAAGUCAGUCACGCAACCGACUGAGCCACCAAGGCUCCCCACUAGCUUUGUCUUGCUAGCAGACUUUCUAUUGUCCUCAUGGCUUAUACCCUUUGAAGAAGGGCAUGGCUCUAUUGGAGAGGCCCGUAUGACGAGGAACUGAGGGCAGCUUGUGGCCAACAGUCAGGGAGAAACUGCAUCCUGCCGACGAUCGUGGGAACUUGAAAUCAAAUCCUUGCCCAGCUGAGCCUUGAGAUGACUAUAUCCUAAGUAACACCUAGUGGGAGAGGCCGCAAAGCUAAGGACCCAGCUGUGUCACACCCAGCUUCCUGCCCCACAGAAACUGUGAGAUGAUAAGCGUGUGUUGUUUUAAGUUGCUGAGUUUUGUGGCAAUUUGUUAGGCAGCAAUAUAUAACUAAGACAGCUCUUUGGGACUUGGAGACCAAAGGGGACAAGCGGGGUUAAGUGUUUACACGGUGUCUGCACACAGAACCCAGCCCGUGAACGUAGGCUGUGAUCACGCUCACCGUUUUUGUUAACAUCAUCAAUACUGUGAUUAUUGGUGGUGAAAUUGGGUAGGAAGGGGCAAGAUCCAGGAGACAGCAGGAGGAGGAAAGGAGUCACUUACUUGGUCGAAAAUAAAGGGCACGAUCUUGGGCUCAGAAGAGUUGAGGAGUUUCUCUGCGGGGAGGUGGGGCAUCAAGAAGAAAGACCAGGAGUAUCUGUAGUUUGUGAAGAAAGUAGAGAGAAAGAGAAAAACGUCAAUAUGGAAACAUGAAGCAUUGCUGGGGACCAUGUGUCUCCCUCACGACGGUUGAGACAUCCUCCCGUAAGCUUUAGGCGGAAGUUAUUUUUGUCUAUUUGCGUUUACUAUUAUUAAAGAUAUAAAUUAUUAAAUUAUAUAUAUACAUAUAUAGAAUCACCGUAAUAUAUAUAUUUAUAUAUAUAUAAAAAAACUGUGAUUCUGCUUCAGUUCCGAACCACAUGCAUGACUGCUCUCUGAGCAUUAUUCUCCUUUAAUACCUCAAAAAUGGUGACGGUGAAAUACCACAGACAUUGAGAGAAAGCACCCUGGUCUCCGUCAGUCUGGAAGAUGCAGAACCUCAAGCAGGAGGGAGGUUGUGAUGACAGAAGAGAAAACACAGGCCGAAUCCUCAGGGCUGCAGAGAAUUUGUAAAAAUCCAAUAAAGAGACAGCCCAAUACCAAAACAUCACCUGAAAGAUUCAGUUUCAGGAGCUCUCUGAGCCUCUGGCUGGCUUCCUUAUGCUCUGUCCUGUCUCCUAGGUCUGCUUUGACCUCCCAGGCCAAUGUUCCUGAUCUUGUCCACCUUGCCAAUCACCCAGCACUAAGUGUGAGAAGGAGGGGCCAAAAAUAUCGACUCCAUUUAAAGGGAGAGAGACUGAGACACAGAUUUCUGAGUCACCCGAGUGGAUACAGACGGCUUGGGACUGAUGGGAAGAAGAAUACACCAGAGGAAUAUGGGUAGAAGCCCAUCUCUGUUAGAGAGAUGUUCUGGGACCCAGUAGAAGCCAAGCCAUAGUCCUCCUGUCCCGAGUCCCCUUCAAGAGAUCCAUCCAGGGAGCGCCUGGGUGGCUCAGCCAGUUACGCGUCUGACUCUUGAUUUCGGCUCAGGCCAUGAUCUCACGGUUGUGGGAUCAAGCCCUGUGUCAGGCUCCACGCUGAGCCUGCUUAAGAUUCUCUCUCUCUCUCUCUCUCUCUCUCUCUCUCUCUCUCUCUCUCAAAAAGGAGAUCCAUCUAGAAAAUGUCUUGCUUUUAAACCAGUUUAUUUAUUCAUUAUUAUAAUUCUUAAAAAUUCACUCGUCAGCAAAAGCUCCUGACUUGGCAAUGGACAGUAAGACGUUAUUUGGCCGCCAGCCAAACCAUCUUAAAACAUAAUCACUCUUUCAACACUGUUCCUUUGAGCAUGACUGACCCAUGAGCACUUCUGAACAUUGAGUGCAGCUGAGGUCCAAGCGCCGUUUUGCCUCCCAUGUCAGAGCCCCCUGAACCCUCACCCUUCUUUCGGACUCUCCUGUGUAAUCUGUAGAUUUUGUGCAGCUUCUAACAGCUCUCUGCACUCCGGCCUUGGUUUACCGUGCACAUGGGCCAGCGCCCUUCUCUCAAAAACAGGAAAAUUGUAUUGUUUUGGAUGAGAGGCUAAUGGGGACUUUGGAAGGAAGCUAGCUAAGGGUGUGUAGGAGCUGCUGCACAGGAGGGGUCAAGAGCUGGGGGAGAGUGGCCAGAUUUCAGAAGGUCACUUUGGUUUAGGAAGUGAAGCUUUGUGGGAGGGGGGAAAGGUGAGCAUAUGCGUAGCCAGCCAUGUCAGCCCGGUCCGAUUUCAUGGUGGUGAUUACUGAGUGAUUUCUGGAUUAGCCUUUCACACGUGCAGGUUCAUUGAGCACUGGCCACUUCCUUCUCCUUGUUUUCUUUGCUUUUGAAACUUUUGCCCCACCUCUCUUUUUCCCCUCACUCACUCAGGAAGAUUUGCAUGCAGACAUUUUUAGGUUGGCAGGGAACGACAGCUUCUCAGAAAAUGUGUGGCACCGUGCGGUAAGGGGAUAUUAGACCGAGGCACAAGGCUCGCGUUCACCUUGGGAUGAAGCUAGUGAGCACGAAGGACAGAGAAUGCCCAGCAAGGCCAGGACCGGUGAGACCUGUGUAUGAAAAAGUCUAAAGAUGGUGUUCAUCUACCCAGGUUGCUAUUUACUGCCUCCGAAGGAUGAGUCAUUCUCUGUUUACACUGAGGGACUGAAGUUAUGUCUGUCUGCAGCCAGCAGUGUAACCAAGUCGUGGAGAUGCCAUGACAGUAACUGCUCUCUGGGCGUCUCAGAAUCUCAGAGCCUCCAACUCUGGACGCAACUUGCUACACGAGACGCUGCCCCCUAUAGACUCGCCGAAAGGAGCUCUACUAAGAAAUAAACCAAAUUUAAAAAACAAACGACCCCCUCCAACCCUGCCUAGGGCUUUUAAAGAAUACAGAACUUUCCAGCAGCCAAGUGGCAUUGUCAGCGGUGGGCUAGGAUUUUACACCUCGUAGGAACCGAACGGGGAUGUGCGGGGAUCUGAGGGAAUAAUAUUAAUGGCUUGAGUUGGUCCCAGAUGGAAGCUCGCUGUGUUUAUACCAAAACGCUGCUCUGCUUCCUUAUGCGGAAGAUAGAGGCUCUGUUGAGUCGUUUAAGCAAAACCUUGCAGAGCACGCGUGGCCGUCUGGGAUUUGCAACAGAAGAAGAAGCCAGUGGGAGAAGGAAGGGAGAGAGAGCCAGGCCACGGGAGGCAAUGUGGUAGACACUAUGAGCGUCUCCGGGUGUCUCAGCGCUUCCCAAACUGCUGGUCCGGGCAAGCCACCUGCAUUCUCCAGAACGUGCAGGUUCUGAUAAGGCAGGUCUGGGGCUUGGCUUGCAAUUCUUCAUCUCUAACAAGCUCCCAGGUGACGCCAAUGUUGCUGGCCCCUGAACCACACUUUAAGUAGCAAGGAGUCAGGGUAACUGCCUCACCUAUCCUCUUCCUUUGUCGAACCCUAAAGGUCAGGUGCUUACCUGCACGGGGUUCGGGGAGAGUAACUCCUGCUCGGUCCCACCGGGCGAGCAUGUUAAUCAGCCCAAGCCCAUCAUGGUAAUUCUACUCCCUUUGCCAGUGAUUGGCUCGGCACGGGCCAUGUGACCCAUCUUGGUCAAGGAGAUAAAAGGAAAACCGUCGGGGGUGGGGAGAAAGACAUGUUUAGAAAGCCCUUUUUUUUCCCCCUUCUUUUCUUUUCUUUUCUUUUCUUUUUGUUCUGAUAAAGCUUCCCAGGAUGGCUGUUUGCCACUUCCUGGUUUUGGAGCUUCCCCGGUGAGGAUGGGAUUCUUGGAGCUUCUGUGCUUAGUCUACAAGUUUAAGGAGAGAGCUCCUUGGCCCCUUCCCCCUACCUCUCCAUUAGAUCCUGUCUUUGUUAGCACCUACCCUCAUUGAGUCUUCAACCAUAGAAUCCCAUGGGGAGCUAUUUUGGACCCUCUUUUCAUCUCUCAUUCUCCGCGUUAGAGUUUUCAAACUGUGGGUAGCAACUCACCAGCAGGUCAUGAAAUCACCACAGCAGGUUGUGCCCAGCACUGGGACAAAGAACAGAGUAUCCCUGAACGUUCCCCGUGGUAGAGGCACCAGAGACAACAAAUGAACAAAGGACACCAUGUAUUUUGGGACUUUUACUCCUCCCUUACCCGCAAGAUGUGGAACCCAUCUCUCCUCAAGCCUUUUGCGGGGUCAUGGCACGCCCUCUGGUGGCCCAUCUCUUUCAAUGGCUUUACCUGCCCCAAUGAGCAAUCUUUCAGAAGCCGUCUCCUGGACUUUCUGUGCCCGGAGGACCAUCUUCCCCAAGGGCAAAGCAGGCUGGGAUCGCUGCAGAGUUAACUUCGGAUUUCCCAGGAUUUUGUGAACAUUCUGAUUGUGACCUCUUUACUGAACCCAGAAAUUUGUUUUUGACGUCUGCUGUGGGAAAAAAUCUUGAGACGUUAUUUCCCUCCGCUGAUGCCACCAGUAAUUAGAUCCAAGAAUGCAUUUGGCCCAGGCUUUGAUAAUUCAGUGGAGCUAACAAACUGUAACGACUUAGAUAUGACCUUGCCCGCUGACCUCCCUCCUAGUCACUUCCAUGCACGCCCAGGAACCUGCCCACGGGCUCUGGCUCCAGGACGCCAUAGCUUAUCCUUUCCCGAAGCCUUCAUCCCACAGAGCAGGCAUUUGGGAAUCGACGGUUGACCAUUAUGGUGCCACAAGAUGGAAAGACCCAGGGUCCCCGAAUGACCGCGUGAAGCCAAUUCUGCCACCAAACUGUGUUGAACAGAGGCAUGAACGAGCAACGAACCUUUACUGUAUUAAUCCACGUUGGUUGUAUCUUAAAGCAGUUGGCAUAGCCUGCUUAAUAGAUUUCCUUCUUCUAUCCCCCAUCCCAGCAAAACGUUCUAGGUUGCCGGGACAGCUUGAGGACCGUGUGCUUAAAGAGAUGUCAGGGUAAGCGUUCCAUUUUGCUAGCCAAGCAUUCAAACGUCGCCAAGAGACGAGGGUAGCCGGUGAGGUUCUGCCGAAAUGCUUCCAAGUCAGGGAAGCCCCUGCAUUUUUUGAGAAAUAAAAGGAAAAAUGAAGGUUGUCCUCCUGGUGAGGAGGUGUCACAGUGAGGUGUCACAGAGACCUUGAGACGUCUUAAUGUGGGCUUUGCCGGGUGACGAAAGUGAACACCCCCUUCUCUUCCACAAGUAUUUAUUGUGUGGUUAGCAUCAUGCCCCCCAUCUCGCCUCAGAAAGCAAGUCUGAGAAAUUCAAGAGUUGGCCCCGGACGCUGCCCCUCCACGCAGGGGGGACCUCAGACGGUGCAUGACAAGUGAACUGCAGGAAUGUGUCAGCUACGCCGAUGUGAUGUCUCGGGUGGACGGCUACUGCCUGUAUUCAGGGAGCUUAAGUGUCUCUUGUAUCCAUUCCCUUCCCUUCCCGGGAGACUCCAUUAUUUCUUGGUACUCUUUCUAGACCUGUCACCCUUUCGUGGUGACCCAUCAUAUAGGUUCGCUAUUGAUGAGAACGGUUUUCAGUGUUGCAAGGAGGUCAAAAACAAACAGCAUUUCCCGGGUUAGAACAAAGAAGGCUUUGGCUUGAAUGAACUUUUGCUUAGUCACGAAGAACCCAGGGCCCGGCUCUGCUCUGGGGAUAAGAUGGCAGCCUGGGUUUCACUCCUGGUGCCACAGUUGGAUUUUGUGACUUUUGCAACACACUGUUUCUCGGGGCGGAAGAGUCGCGAUGCAGUUUGAGGAGUUUUGAGUGACACGACUGAUGUAUUUCAGACUCUUUUCCCGACUUCAAGCUCCCCCCCCCUUUUUUUAAAGUUUAUUCAUUUAUUUUGAGAGAGACAGAGAGAGAGAGAGUACAAGUGAGAGGAGCAGAAACAGAGGGGGACAGAGGAUCGGAAGCGGGCUCUGUGCUGAGACGGCCUGAUGAGGGGCUCGAACUCACAAGCCCGAGAUCGUGACCUGAGUCAAAGGCAGACGCUUAACCGACUGAACCACCCAGGUGCCCCCCUCCCCACUUCAAGCUUUUAAACCUCUCUUUUUAAGCCUCUCCAACCCAAAGAAGGUUUCUUACUCUCUUAUGCACACCUUGACCUUCGGCUUCCUGAGAAGCCACGCUCAGACCUGAUGUACCAAAUGUGUGUGUACAUUUUGUGUGCCUUUGCACUACUUUCUGAACUGCUGCAUGGUUUUCCGUGCUGCCGUCCCCUCUCUAUUCUUUUCCUUCGUUCUCCCCUCCGUUCUGACACUGUCUCGUUUUUCUUGUUCACUCUUCCAACCAAACCCCGUUAAGUCUAUGCUGGUUUGUUCUUUGUGUUUUUUUUUUUUGUAACUUCUGGGCAAAGUGAAAACUCACCUAGAAAAGCUACCCACGUGAGUCUGGUGGUAACAGGAAAAAGACACCACAGAGACAAGGAGUAAGUGAACACAGAAAACAGAUCGUACGGGCUGGUGGAAAUUCGGCUGGAGGUCUUCACGGCCUGUGCCUGUUUUUAGACGCGAAGGCAACGGAACAUCAAAUUUUUUCUUCAUCUUAGGGUUUCCCCCCACCUCAGCAUGAACCUUUAAUUGGCAGCCGUUUUCUUUGGGGAGUUAUUCACGUGCAUGUGUUUUUCGCGCGAUGCCCAUCUCGACGCGUAUCAUUUAAUAAGUGAAAUCGGGUGUGCAGCUGCUACAGGGGCAUGUUUUCUACCUAAAAAAAAAGUUAGGAAAAAAGUAGUGAGGUAGUGGGAGUUGGCCGAGGUACACGUGUACUUCCUGCGAAGGGUUCCGCGUCCUUGACUCUUCACCCGGCUCAAGCCUUGGCACCGAAUGUGCUACGGAAGGUGUCUAAUGACCAGAGACCGUUAGGUUUCCAAGUGACCUCUCUGAGCCUCCUGUCUCACACUCUCGGGAUACAGACCAGGAAUCUCAACCCAAGAGAGGAUGCAGACUUCACUGGUAGGGGGACAGAGCUGCGAGGAGAAAACAGCCACUGGGGUUCCUCGCUCGGUGUUCUUCUCAAGCCUGAGAGGAAGGAGGGACAGAAGGCGGAUGGGAUUGAGGAAGCAACGAAGCAACAGGAAAAGAGAGCCCAAGCUCCGGGAAAGGGAAGAUGGUCCAGGAGAGAAAGAAGAAAGGGACUUGGGGCUGAGGUGCCCAAGCCUUUGCUAACCUGAAAAGUAAACUCAAAGUUAGAGACCAGAGGGUCCCCAGGGGGGAACCGGUCCUCUGAAAGGAGCAUCUCACGUUGCACAGGGGAGUCGGCGAAGCAUUUGGUUUGUCUGCUUAGAAAGGAAGUUUCUAGAAAGAGAAGGCAUUGUGAUGUUAAGAUGACCCUUCAGAAGCUGUGAAGGCUGUAGUCUCUACUCUCCUACCGUUUGAUGCCCCUGGAGGCUAGGCAUGCCUUCCACGUGGAUGCUUGAGUGGUUUCUUUCUAGUUGGAGAAUUAAUGGCAGACCAAGUUGCUAGAUCUACCCACGGCCGAUCAAUGCUUCGCAGAUUCCCUCUGGCCAUCCUUUCUGGAUCUCCCUUAGAUGUCACUAAUGAAAAAGUCAAAUACGCGUUGAGCAACCUAGAAGAACCCAUACUUCCUCAUUUCAUAGAAAGGUCCAGAACGGAAUUGUAACUAGCCCCCAAUCCCCCAUAGCUUAGAAGAAUGUAUCCAAUGUGGUACCACAAUCACCCUAAAACAUAGCGGGCAGGAUAGUCUCACCAAAAUGGCUGCGACCAGGCCGCUUUAUCCCUGUACGUGCACGCUGCCCCGCAAAAUGUAGGGUGUAUUUCCCCUCCCCUUGAACCCGGUUGCUCCUGUGACUGCUGUAACCAAGAGAAUGAAGCAGAAGUAGCAUUCUAGAACUUCCACGCUCAGUACCAAAGUUCCAGUUCCUCCCUCCUGGAUGCCAGCUGCCGUGUAAGGAGUCUGACCCCCUUGCUGAAAAGACCACAUGCUUUGGAAGCCACAUGGAAAGAGACAGGGGGCACAGAUGUGUGAGUGAAGCCUUCUCAGACCUUCCAGCAGCUGGCUGGUUGCAGCCAAGUGAGUGACACUAGCCGGUGCCCAGCUGACUCAGAAUCAUGAGAAAUAGUAAAUGGAGGUUGCUUUUGGGUUUUGGUUUGGGGGUGGCUUGUCACGCAGUGAUGGAGGACUGAAGCGACCGCUUAAAAGAGGCACCAUGCAUUAUUUUUCAUGGACCUGGGACUCGGUGGGGGGGGGGAGAUGGUUCUGCAGAUCUAGACUGAGCCUGGCCAACCUCAUCUGGACCUGCCUGGGCCUCUGCAGCCUAUGGAGGGCUCGCCAGUCAAGGAUGGCCUCAGCCGUGAUGACUCAUCUCUGUAGCACAGGGUCUUUUAUCCUUUAAUGGAGUUGUCCUCCGGCGGUGGCAGAGUGCCAAGAACAAGAGCAAAAAUGCACAAACUUUUUAACAAAUAAACUUUUCAGGGGGUGCCUGGGUGGCCCUGUUGGUUGAGCGUCAGACUUCGGCUCAGGUCAUGAUCUCAUGGUUUGUGGGUUGGAGCCCGGCGUGGGGCUCUGUGCUGAUGGCUCAGAGCCUGGAGCCUGCUUGGGAUUCCGUGUCUCCCUGUGUCUCUUGCCCCUCCCUUGCUCGUACUCUGUCUCUCUCAAAAAUAAACAUUAAAAAAAUGGUUUUAAAUAACAAAUUUUCAAGAACAGUUUUAGAUUCACAAAACAACUGAGGGGAAGGUGCAGAGAUUUCCCGUAUCUUCCCUGCCUGUCCCCCACAUGCUGAGCCGCCCCCCUGUAUUAACACCCCCCCACCAAGAGUGGUACCUUUGCUAUAGUUGGUGAACCUACGUUGACACAUCGUUAUCAGCCAAAGGUCACAGUUAGGAAUUUGUGCUGUACAGUUUACUGUUCGGACAAAUGUGUAAUGACAAGUAUCCACCACUGUAGUAUCGAAACAGAGUAGUUUCACUGCCCUAGGAAUCUUCCUUGCUCUACUCUUCAAACCUCCUCACCUCCAACUCCUGGAAACCACCGAUCUUUUUCCUAUCUCCAUAGUUUUGCCUUUUCCAGAAUGCUAUAUGACCGGAAUCAAACAAUAUGUAGCCUUUUCAGAUUGGCUUCUUUCACUUAGCAAUAUGUAUUUAGAUUUCCCCUUGUUCUUCUCCUAGCUUGAUAGCUCAUUUCUUUUUAGCAUUAAACAACAUUCCAUUGUUUGGAUGUGCCAGUUCGUUUAUCUGUUCAUCUACUAAUGAACCUCUUGGUUACUUCCAAAUUUUGUCCAAAUUAUGAAUAAAGCUGCUAAAAACUCUGUG